CAUCGUCCACAGCAGCCACACCACCGCGCAGCCCCGCAGCCUCCACCGCCACCGCCUCCUCGGCCGAGACCAAAGGCUCAAAGGUAAAUCUCAGAUCUGUCUUUUCUUUUACAUUUUUUCUUAAAAUAAAUCUAAGAUCUGCCUUGAGUUGAUAUAGAUUGCAGCUGAUUUGUGAAUGCUUGGUUUAUCAUAUAUAUAUGUGUGUGUGUGUGUGUGUAUGAGCCACCUUCCAAAGGUGUUCUUUUCUACGGCCCCCCAGGAUGUGGGAAAACUCUACUGGCCAAGGCAAUAGCAAAUGAAUGUCAAGCCAACUUCAUUAGUGUUAAAGGGCCAGAAUUGCUCACCAUGUGGUUUGGAGAGAGUGAGGCCAAUGUUCGAGAAAUUUUUUACAAGGCUAGAGGAUCAGUCCCAUGUGUUCUGUUCUUUGAUGAGCUUGACUCUAUUGCCACUCAGGCUGCAUCAGGGACUUGGGAGAUUUCUGUGAGUUUCAUCUUAUUUUAAACAAAAGAUUUUAUCAAGGAGCUGGUUAGUAGAAAGACUGGUAAUUUGUUUAACGGUAUUUCCUCCGGAGUUUUAAAAUAGAAUGAUUUGAUUUAGUUGUUGCCUUUUUUCAAUUGUGAUUUAGUUGUAUGAAGUAACUUUAAGCAAUCCAUGCUAAUACCAUACAAUCUUUAGAGAUACUUGCACUUUGAUUUUCAUCACAUAUGUACAUACAAUCUUUGUAGAUACUUGCAGCAAUCCAUGCUAAUACCAUACAAUCUCACCAAAAACAGGUACAUACUCUUCUCAUAUAAAAACUAAUGUGCAUAUCUGAAACUAUAUAUAAUCAUUUCCAAGCCCGCAGAAGCUCCCCAUAAAGUCUCUUUUUAGUAUAUUGUAUUAAAAAAUUGCCUUGAAGGCUUGAACUGCAUUACAGCAUGACCUUGAACUGCUCCAUGUAAGUAUGAGUGUGCAUUUUUAUUGUGUUAAAAAUAUUUAAGAUUCAAUUGCUUAGUUGUUUUCCUUCAUUGAGAUUUCUCUCUUGAUUAGAAUGCUUUGUAAACCAUAACUCCUUUUGGUAAGAGCUAUCAACCGAGGUUGCUGUGCUGUAUUGUAUUGUAUUUCCUUUCCAGGUUCCUGAGUCUCCUUUUGUUGUUUAUAGGACCGAUAAUGUUCAAUAAUUCACAGGAGGCUGUGCUUAGAAGAAAGUUAGAGAAGGAAGCUGUGUUGCAGAAAGCCAUCGAUCUUCAUAGCAGGAGGUUAAUGGAUUUGCAACUUAUGGACGUGAAGAAUAAAGAAAAGUAUAAUCACUUCCAGUGUAGCUCAUCACCUGUCAUUCCAGUCUCUUGCCAGAGCAACUCUCAGUCACCAAACUAUCAAGUCACAGAAGAAAAUAGUAGCCAUGAGGCAAGUUCAGCAGGUCAAGAGAACAAGAGUGGAAGUGAAGAUAGCGGCAAGAAGCAGCGAUGCAACAGCCCUGAACUUCAUAAAAGAUUUGUAUAUGCUAAUGAAGUAUUGAAGAUCUAAAAACUAAAGCUGCUGUUUUCAUAAUGUUUGUAUAUGCAUAUGAUAUCAAGUGAGUCCAGCAUCUCUAUUAUCUAACUGGUUGUAAAAUGGGUUGGAUACUAAGGUGGAGAAGUCUGAUUCCUCGGUGCAGAAGCAGAUCAAAGAUAACUAAGGUGGUUAUUAGGUUCUUAUUUUAUGCUUCUAAACACUGAUAUGAUAUGUUGUUUUUCUUAGAAAGGUUUUUGUAUAUAUAUUAGAAAGCUUGUGUAUAUAUGGGAUGAUUCAAAGAAAAGAUUGUAUGUAUUAAUUGAUAUUAUUGUGUUGAUAUAUAGUUAUAACUUCACGUUAAUUUUA